GUGGUGUGAUGAACCUUAACACAUCAUUCUUAAAUGUAAUGUGCAGACAUAAGAUCACUGAUCACA